rnacentral:rRNA from 1 species
AGAGUUUGAUCCUGGCUCAGGACGAACGCUGGCGGCGUGCUUAAUACAUGCAAGUCGAGCGAGGUUACUGUUUUGGAUCCCUUCGGGGUGAAGAAGCUUUAACCUAGCGGCGGACGGGUGAGUAACGCGUGGGUAACCUACCCCAAAGUCCGGGAUAACAGCGGGAAACCGCUGCUAAUACCGGAUGCCUUUACCUUGGGGCAUCUUGAGGUAAAGAAAGGUAACGCUUUGGGAUGGGCCCGCGUCCCAUUAGCUAGUUGGUGAGGUAACGGCUCACCAAGGCGACGAUGGGUAGCCGGCCUGAGAGGGUGGACGGCCACACUGGGACUGAGACACGGCCCAGACUCCUACGGGAGGCAGCAGUAGGGAAUAUUGCGCAAUGGACGGAAGUCUGACGCAGCGACGCCGCGUGAGCGAUGAAGGUCUUCGGAUCGUAAAGCUCUGUCCUUGGGGAAGAAGGCAAAAGCUUGACGGUACCCAAGAAGAAAGCCCCGGCUAACUACGUGCCAGCAGCCGCGGUAAUACGUAGGGGGCGAGCGUUGUCCGGAAUUACUGGGCGUAAAGGGUGCGUAGGCGGCCCUUUAAGUCGGAUGUGAAAGCCCGCGGCUUAACCGCGGAAUGGCAUUCGAAACUGGAGGGCUUGAGUGUCGGAGAGGGUAGUGGAAUUCCCAGUGUAGCGGUGAAAUGCGUAGAUAUUGGGAGGAACACCAGUGGCGAAGGCGACUACCUGGACGAUAACUGACGCUGAGGCACGAAAGCUAGGGGAGCAAACAGGAUUAGAUACCCUGGUAGUCCUAGCCGUAAACGAUGGGUACUAGGUGUGGGUGGUUUCGAUACCAUCCGUGCCGUAGUUAACGCAUUAAGUACCCCGCCUGGGGAGUACGUGCGCAAGCAUGAAACUCAAAGGAAAUGACGGGGGCCCGCACAAGCGGUGGAGCAUGUGGUUUAAUUCGAAGCAACGCGAAGAACCUUACCAGGUCUUGACAUCACCUAGCAAGCCAUGGAAACAUGGCCCUCCUUCGGGACUGGGUGACAGGUGGUGCAUGGUUGUCGUCAGCUCGUGUCGUGAGAUGUUGGGUUAAGUCCCGCAACGAGCGCAACCCUUGCCUUUAGUUGCCAGCAUUAAGUUGGGGACUCUAAAGGGACUGCCGGCGACAAGUCGGAGGAAGGUGGGGAUGACGUCAAAUCAUCAUGCCCCUUAUGAUCUGGGCUACACACGUGCUACAAUGGGUGGUACAGAGGGAAGCGAAGCUGUGAGGCGGAGCGAAUCCCAGAAAGCCACUCUCAGUUCGGAUUGCAGGCUGCAACUCGCCUGCAUGAAGUCGGAAUCGCUAGUAAUCGCGGGUCAGCAUACCGCGGUGAAUACGUUCCCGGGCCAUGUACACACCGCCCGUCACACCACGAAAGUUCGCAACACCCGAAGCCGGUGGCCUAACCCGUAAGGGAGGGAGCCGUCGAAGGUGGGGCGGAUGAUUGGGGUGAAGUCGUAACAAGGUAGCCGUAUCGGAAGGUGCGGCUGGAUCACCUCCUU